rnacentral:rRNA from 1 species
UACGAAGGGGGGCUAGCGUUGCUCGGAAUUACUGGGCGUAAAGCGCACGUAGGCGGCUCUUUAAGUCGGGGGUGAAAUCCUGGAGCUCAACUCCAGAACUGCCUUCGAUACUGUAGAGCUUGAGUUCGGGAGAGGUGAGUGGAACUGCGAGUGUAGAGGUGAAAUUCGUAGAUAUUCGCAAGAACACCAGUGGCGAAGGCGGCUCACUGGCCCGAUACUGACGCUGAGGUGCGAAAGCCAGGGGGAGCGAACGGG